rnacentral:rRNA from 1 species
GCUAAUCGGUGUGCGUGAGACGCGGUAGUAGGGGGGGGGGAAGCCGUGUUGGGGAUUACUGGGCCGAAAGGUCACGGAGGUGGCCAACUAAGUCAGACGUGAAAUCCCUCGGCUUAACCGGGGAACUGCGUCUGAUACUGGAUGGCUCGAGUUUGGGAGAGGGAUGCGGAAUUCCAGGUGUAGCGGUGAAAUGCGUAGAUAUCUGGAGGAACACCGGUGGCGAAGGCGGCAUCCUGGACCAACACUGACACUGAGGAGCGAAAGCCAGGGGAGCAAACGGGAUUAGAUACCCCUGUAGUC